rnacentral:rRNA from 1 species
UACAGAGGGUGCAAGCGUUAAUCGGAGUUACUGGGCGUAAAGGGCGCGUAGGCGGUCAUGCAAGUGAGAUGUGAAAUCCCCGGGCUUAACCUGGGAACUGCAUUUUAGACUGUGUGACUGGAGUACUGUAGAGGAUAGUGGAAUUUCCGGUGUAGCGGUGAAAUGCGUAGAGAUCGGAAGGAACACCAGUGGCGAAGGCGACUGUCUGGACAGAUACUGACGCUGAGGCGCGAAAGCGGUGGGGAGCAAACAGG